UACGUAGGCAGCGAGCGUUGUUCGGAGUUACUGGGCGUAAAGCGUGCGUAGGCGGUGGUCCAAGUCUGGUGUGAAAUAUCCCGGCUUAACCGGGAGGGUGGCAUUGAUACUGUAGGACUUGAGUAGAGUUGAGGUUGGCGGAAUUGACGGUGUAGCGGUGAAAUGCUUAGAUAUCGUCAAGAACACCGAUAGUGAAGACAGCUAACUAAGCUCAAACUGACGCUGAGGCACGAAAGUGUGGGGAUCAAACAGG
rnacentral:rRNA from 1 species